rnacentral:rRNA from 2 species
AAACACGACUCUCGGCAACGGAUAUCUCGGCUCUCGCAUCGAUGAAGAACGUAGCGAAAUGCGAUACUUGGUGUGAAUUGCAGAAUCCCGUGAACCAUCGAGUCUUUGAACGCAAGUUGCGCCCGAAGCCGUCAGGCCGAGGGCACGUCUGCCUGGGCGUCACG